rnacentral:pre_miRNA from 1 species
UUAAUACUCCCUCCGUCCGGAAAUACUUGUCGUGGAAAUGGAUAAAAAUAGAUGUAUCUUAAACUAAAAUACAUCUAAAUACAUCCAUUUCUUCGACAAGUAUUUCCGGACAGAGGGAGUAAAAA